rnacentral:rRNA from 1 species
AGAGUUUGAUCCUGGCUCAGGAUUAACGCUGGCGGCGUGCAUGAGACAUGCAAGUCGAACGGACGAGUGGGCUUCCUCACUCGUUAGUGGCGGACGGCUGAGUAACGCGUAGGUGACCUGCCCCGAAGUGGGGAAUAACUGCCCGAAAGGGUGGCUAAUACCGCAUGUGGUGCCACGUUCAUUCGUGUCUCCAAAGCCGCAAGGCGCUUCGGGAGGGGCCUGCGUCCGAUUAGCUCGUUGGUGGGGUAAUGGCUCACCAAGGCGACGAUCGGUAGGUGGUCUGAGAGGACGAUCACCCAGACUGGGACUGAGACACGGCCCAGACUCCUACGGGAGGCAGCAGUCGGGAAUUUUGCUCAAUGGGCGCAAGCCUGAAGCAGCAACGCCGCGUGGGGGAUGACGGCCUUCGGGUUGUAAACCUCUUUUCCCGGGGACGAUGAUGACGGUACUCGGGGAAUAAGUCACGGCUAACUACGUGCCAGCAGCCGCGGUAAUACGUAGGUGACGAGCGUUGUCCGGAUUUACUGGGCGUAAAGAGCGCGCAGGCGGUCGUACAAGUCGAGUGUGAAAUCCCCCGGCUCAACUGGGGAACGUCGCUCGAUACUGUUCGACUUGAAGGCGGGAGAGGGAAGCGGAAUUCCCGGUGUAGUGGUGAAAUGCGUAGAUAUCGGGAGGAACACCAGUGGCGAAGGCGGCUUUCUGGCCCGUUCUUGACGCUGAGGCGCGAAAGCUAGGGUAGCGAACGGGAUUAGAUACCCCGGUAGUCCUAGCCGUAAACGAUGGACACUAGGUGUUGGUGGUAUCAACCCCGCCAGUGCCGAAAG